GUCCCUGAAUGCUGGAGUCAGACACUGGAGGGCCAGGACAGUUCAGCUGCAGCUCCUCUGAGCAGGGAGUCAAACAGGGCAGAAGCAGACACCAGCUCUCCUGGACCAGCUGGAGUUCACGGUCCAGAGAAGAAGUCCGACACUGAACAGAGAAUCACAUCUGUGAGCAACACAAAAGGCAAGGCAAACCCAGGCAGAUGCUCCCUCCCGGGACUCUGUGUUAUAGGCCUACAGAAAGCCUCUCCCAGAGAAAAAGCGAUUUUUCAGCCAGAACCUCCAGCAGUGGCUUUCAGACUGAGCCUGGACCUGUGACCUUCUCUGACUCCACCUGGGCUUCAAUUGUCAGGACCUCCUGGCCUUCGAGCAGCCAAGUGUUUUAUGAGACCUAAGAAAAGAAGAACCUCUCCUGAAGCAAUCCAGGGACAGAAAAAAAAAGAAAAAGAAAAAAGAAAAGAAGAGCCU